AGAGUUUGAUCAUGGCUCAGGAUUAACGCUGGCGGCGUGCUUAACACAUGCAAGUCGUACGAGAACUCUUUAGCUUGCUAAAGAUAGUAAAGUGGCGCACGGGUGAGUAACGCGUGGGUAAUCUACCUCUGAAUUUGGGAUAACUCCGCGAAAGCGGGGCUAAUACCGGAUAAUAUUUCAGGAUCUUCGGGUCUUGAAAUCAAAAGUGGCCUCUACAUGUAAGCUACUGUUUGGAGAUGAGCCCGCGUACCAUUAGCUUGUUGGUAGGGUAAUGGCCUACCAAGGCUACGAUGGUUAGCUGGUCUGAGAGGAUGAUCAGCCACACUGGAACUGACACACGGUCCAGACUCCUACGGGAGGCAGC
rnacentral:rRNA from 1 species